rnacentral:rRNA from 1 species
ACGAACGCUGGCGGCAUGCCUAACCCCUGCAAGUCGAACGAGACCUUCGGGUCUAGUGGCGCACGGGUGCGUAACGCGUGGGAACCUGCCCUUAGGUUCGGAAUAACUCCCCGAAAGGGGUGCUAAUACCGGAUAAUGUCUUCGGACCAAAGAUUUAUCGCCUUUGGAUGGGCCCGCGUUGGAUUAGCUAGUUGGUAGGGUAAAAGCCUACCAAGGCGACGAUCCAUAGCUGGUCUGAGAGGAUGAUCAGCCACACUGGGACUGAGACACGGCCCAGACUCCUACGGGAGGCAGCAGUGGGGAAUAUUGGACAAUGGGCGAAAGCCUGAUCCAGCAAUGCCGCGUGAGUGAUGAAGGCCUUAGGGUUGUAAAGCUCUUUUACCCGGGAUGAUAAUGACAGUACCGGGAGAAUAAGCUCCGGCUAACUCCGUG